UACAGAGGGUGCGAGCGUUAAUCGGAAUUACUGGGCGUAAAGCGCGCGUAGGCGGCUUUGCAAGUCGGGUGUGAAAUCCCCAGGCUUAACCUGGGAACUGCAUUCGAGACUGCAUUGCUAGAGUAUGGGAGAGGGAAGUGGAAUUUCCGGUGUAGCGGUGAAAUGCGUAGAUAUCGGAAGGAACAUCAGUGGCGAAAGCGACUUCCUGGACCAAUACUGACGCUCAUGUGCGGAAGCGUGGGGAGCAAACAGG
rnacentral:rRNA from 1 species